rnacentral:rRNA from 1 species
UACAGAGGGCGCGAGCGUUAAUCGGAAUUACUGGGCGUAAAGCGUGCGUAGACGGUUAUUUAAGUCGGGUGUGAAAGCCCCGGGCUCAACCUGGGAAUUGCAUUCGAGACUGAAUAGCUAGGGUACGGUAGAGGGAAGCGGAAUUUCCGGUGUAGCGGUGAAAUGCGUAGAUAUCUGGAGGAACACCGGUGGCGAAGGCGGCAUCCUGGACCGGCAUUGACGCUGAGGCGCGAAAGCUAGGGGAGCAAACGGG